AUUGAACGCUGGCGGCAGGCCUAACACAUGCAAGUCGAACGAGUGGCGGACGGGUGAGUAAUGUCUGGGAAACUGCCCGAUGGAGGGGGAUAACUACUGGAAACGGUAGCUAAUACCGCAUACCAUCUGAUGUGCCCAGAUGGGAUUAGCUAGUAGGUGGGGUAAAGGCUCACCUAGGCGACGAUCCCUAGCUGGUCUGAGAGGAUGAGCAGCAACAGUGGACCGUAGAAAAGGGCCAGACGCCUACGGGAGGCAGCAGUGGGGAAUAUUGCACAAUGGGCGCAAGCGUGAUGCAGCCAUGCCGCGUGUAUGAAGAAGGCCUUAGGGUUGUAAAGUACUUUCAGCGGGGGGGCGUUACCCGCAGAAGAAGCACCGGCUAACUCCGUGCCAGCAGCCGCGGUAAUUC
rnacentral:rRNA from 1 species